UACGUAGGCAGCAAGCGUUGUUCGGAGUUACUGGGCGUAAAGGGUGCGUAGGCGGCUUUUUAAGUUUGGUGUGAAAUCUCCCGGCUCAACUGGGAGGGUGCGCCGAAUACUGAGAGGCUAGAGUGUGGGAGAGGAAAGUGGAAUUCCUGGUGUAGCGGUGAAAUGCGUAGAUAUCAGGAGGAACACCGGUGGUGUAAACGCUUUCUGGACCAUAACUGACGCUGAGGCACGAAAGCGUGGGUAGCAAACAGG
rnacentral:rRNA from 1 species